UAUUUUCUCUUUAAAUAUGAGUGCUCUACAGUAAGAUUGUAAACUUUAAUUAUAUGUGUCUGUUUUUGCAGUGACUCAAUGUGGAUUGUGAAGACACAGAAGGGGACGCAUUUGGAUCUUGAAUCAUGAAUGUUGAAUCUUGAUGCUCACAGAAAAGGAAGUCAACCAGACAGUCGUCGCUGCCGCACCACGAUCACUCGGCGGCAUCCACAUCAUCUAGUGGUGGUGGAUCUACAUGCAAGGAGCAUGCGCACUACCACUGGAUGUGGAUGCUGGAUGAGUUGGGCAACCUCGGCCGCUCCAGUACCAACUGCCCGACCAGGUGUUGCUAACCAUAUUCGGCUACUUGCUGUCGGUUUCAGGGCAUCAGCUCUGUCGUCGCCGCCGCACCACGAUCACUCGGCGGCAUCCACAUCUAGUGGUGGUGGAUCUACAUGCAAGGAGCAUGCGCACUACCACUGGAUGUGGAUGCUGGAUGAGUUGGGCAACCUCGGCCGCUCCAGUACCAACUGCCCGACCAGGUGUUGCUAACCAUAUUCGGCUACUUGCUGUCGGUUUCAGGGCAUCAGCUCUGGAUUGAGACCACAAUAGGAGGCAUAAAGUCCCUUGAUAAUUUUGAAAACAGAGACGUUAUAGUGAGGUCCACGUUAUAAUGGCAGUGGAGGAAAGUAGGAGAACAACGUUGCCAAUUAUCUGCCUUGCCACUGCCUUCUGAAGAGGAUAGCUUGGUCAAUUUUACCACCAACUUUGGUCAAUAUCUAUUGUUAGUUCCUAAAGGCUCUGAAAAUUGAUGAAAUGGAACAAAUUAUUUGGACAAGACACUAGAAAAAUUCUACUCGGUCGGUUUUGAAAUCAUACCUCAAGAUACUUGCGAGAUCUUCGUCUGCACUGCACUAGCAUUUCAGCCAUUGGUGAUAAGAUGCUAAAACAACCAUGCCAUUGGCGGUAUUCGAACCCACAACCAGCACAACGCAGCCAUAGCAGCUGCUUUAGGCCGGAUUGUAUUUUUAAUUAUUUAAAAACUAUUUAAACAAUAGAUACCAAAUCCUCAAAAUUGAUAAUAAAACCAGCCUUGAUUAUAGUCUUGCACAGGGAACAGUCCUGUCUCCGAUUCUCUUCCUAAUCUACAUGAAUGAUCUUCCCAAGUUAGAAUUAAAAAAUGGAGUGUCAAUCGCUUUUGCCGAUGACACUUGAUUGUUAUUCAAGGGAGCCAAUUGGGAGGAUACUAAGAAAGCAGCAGAAUCCGGGCUCAAAAUAGUGAAAUCCUGGUUCUACUUCUUCCUCACCCCCUGUUUCUCUUCCCGAUAUUUUCAAUGCAUGUUAGUUAACAUAACUAAGUUGCAUGUUAUCCCUUUAUGAUUUUCUUGCAUUAUUGUUAGUCAUUGAACACUCAGCAUCUGUGCUCAGGUUUUUUCAAACCUUGCAGGGACUUGGUUUAAUAUAUCUAUAUUAUUUAUCCUAUUUGAUGGAAUUUCAUUUUUCAUUUUAUAUUGUAUUUUAGUUUUUUAUAAUCAUUGUUAUUGUAAUUAUG